GACGAACGCUGGCGGCGUGCCUAAUACAUGCAAGUAGAACGCUGAAGGAGGAGCUUGCUCUUCUGGAUGAGUUGCGAACGGGUGAGUAACGCGUAGGUAACCUGCCUGGUAGCGGGGGAUAACUAUUGGAAACGAUAGCUAAUACCGCAUAACAGUAGAUGUUGCAUGACAUUUGCUUAAAAGGUGCAAUUGCACCACUACCAGAUGGACCUGCGUUGUAUUAGCUAGUUGGUGGGGUAACGGCUCACCAAGGCGACGAUACAUAGCCGACCUGAGAGGGUGAUCGGCCACACUGGGACUGAGACACGGCCCAGACUCCUACGGGAGGUAGCAGUAGGGAAUCUUCGGCAAUGGACGGAAGUCUGACCGAGCAACGCCGCGUGAGUGAAGAAGGUUUUCGGAUCGUAAAGCUCUGUUGUAAGAGAAGAACGAGUGUGAGAGUGGAAAGUUCACACUGUGACGGUAUCUUACCAGAAAGGGACGGCUAACUACGUG
rnacentral:rRNA from 1 species